CGUGCCCUUGUAGUGGGGGAUAACUAGUCGAAAGAUUAGCUAAUACCGCAUACGACCUGAGGGUGAAAGUGGGGGACCGCAAGGCCUCAUGCUAUAGGAGCGGCCGAUGUCUGAUUAGCUAGUUGGUGAGGUAAAGGCUCACCAAGGCGACGAUCAGUAGCUGGUCUGAGAGGACGAUCAGCCACACUGGGACUGAGACACGGCCCAGACUCCUACGGGAGGCAGCAGUGGGGAAUUUUGGACAAUGGGCGAAAGCCUGAUCCAGCAAUGCCGCGUGUGUGAAGAAGGCCUUCGGGUUGUAAAGCACUUUUGUCCGGAAAGAAAUCGCACUUACUAAUACUAGGUGUGGAUGACGGUACCGGAAGAAUAAGGACCGGCUAACUACGUGCCAGCAGCCGCGGUAAUACGUAGGGUCCAAGCGUUAAUCGGAAUUACUGGGCGUAAAGCGUGCGCAGGCGGUUGUGCAAGACCGAUGUGAAAUCCCCGAGCUUAACUUGGGAAUUGCAUUGGUGACUGCACGGCUAGAGUGUGUCAGAGGGGGGUAGAAUUCCACGUGUAGCAGUGAAAUGCGUAGAGAUGUGGAGGAAUACCGAUGGCGAAGGCAGCCCCCUGGGAUAACACUGACGCUCAUGCACGAAAGCGUGGGGGAGCAAACAGGAUUAGAUACCCUGGUAGUCCACGCCCUAAACGAUGUCAACUAGUUGUUGGGGGAUUCAUUUCCCUUUAGUAACGUAGCUAACGCGUGAGUUGACCGCCUGGGGGAGUACGGUCGCAGAUUAAAACUCAAGGAUUGACGGGACCGCACAAGCGUUGUAUGAUGUGCAUGAGUCGAUGGCAACGCGAAAAAACGUUAGCUAC
rnacentral:rRNA from 1 species